UACGUAGGGGACAAGCGUUGUCCGGAAUCAUUGGGCGUAAAGAGCGUGUAGGCGGCCCGGUAAGUCCGCUGUGAAAGUCCAGGGCUCAACCCUGGGAUGCCGGUGGAUACUGUCGGGCUCGAGUCCGGAAGAGGAGUGUGGAAUUCCUGGUGUAGCGGUGAAAUGCGCAGAUAUCAGGAGGAACACCAAUGGCGAAGGCAGCACUCUGGGACGUGACUGACGCUGAGACGCGAAAGCGUGGGGAGCAAACAGG
rnacentral:rRNA from 1 species